ACUGCCACAAAGAAAUGGAAGAUGUCUUCAAUCCUUCAACCUGUUCCCCUGAGUUCUGAGUCCAAGACAUCUCAUGAUGUUGAUGAGUUGAUAUUUUCUCUAUCACAAUUGAAUUUGGAAAGCACGAAGGAUAGCAUUCGUCACAUAUAAAUUAUCUGUGAUUCCUGUUCUGUGUGUAGCAAUAGGCAAUAUGCAGUUGAGUUGGAUUAAAGAUUGAGAGGUGCUAUUUGUUACCUUGAAGCAGAGUACUAAAGUGAUGCAUAAAUGAAUUGUAAAAAUGAGCUCAAGAACAUAAUGCUGAUCAUACCUGUGAGUUUCUUGGACUUUUACCAACUGAGAAUUGUACCUCAGAUUGUUCCCAGCUACUAUUUCAUAUCUGCAUAUCCUCAGUGAAAUUGAUGAUAUUGUUGUUAUUCAUAACCUGCUUGAUAUAACACUUUGCAGCUUUCUUGUUCAAGCAAACAAUAUUAGAAGAACAACUGUUCAUUAUCUAUGAAAAGUAGAGUUCCAGAGUGAUCAGAUAAUAUUGUUUUGUUUGUUUGCUUUCUUCUUCAUAGUUUUA